GGGUUGUGAGGUUAAGCGACUAAGCGUACACGGUGGAUGCCCUGGCAGUCAGAGGCGAUGAAGGACGUGCUAAUCUGCGAUAAGCGUCGGUAAGGUGAUAUGAACCGUUAUAACCGGCGAUUUCCGAAUGGGGAAACCCAGUGUGUUUCGACACACUAUCAUUAACUGAAUCCAUAGGUUAAUGAGGCGAACCGGGGGAACUGAAACAUCUAAGUACCCCGAGGAAAAGAAAUCAACCGAGAUUCCCCCAGUAGCGGCGAGCGAACGGGGAGCAGCCCAGAGCCUGAAUCAGUGUGUGUGUUAGUGGAAGCGUCUGGAAAGGCGCGCGAUACAGGGUGACAGCCCCGUACACAAAAAUGCACAUGCUGUGAGCUCGAUGAGUAGGGCGGGACACGUGGUAUCCUGUCUGAAUAUGGGGGGACCAUCCUCCAAGGCUAAAUACUCCUGACUGACCGAUAGUGAACCAGUACCGUGAGGGAAAGGCGAAAAGAACCCCGGCGAGGGGAGUGAAAAAGAACCUGAAACCGUGUACGUACAAGCAGUGGGAGCACGCUUCGGCGUGUGACUGCGUACCUUUUGUAUAAUGGGUCAGCGACUUAUAUUCUGUAGCAAGGUUAACCGAAUAGGGGAGCCGAAGGGAAACCGAGUCUUAACUGGGCGUUAAGUUGCAGGGUAUAGACCCGAAACCCGGUGAUCUAGCCAUGGGCAGGUUGAAGGUUGGGUAACACUAACUGGAGGACCGAACCGACUAAUGUUGAAAAAUUAGCGGAUGACUUGUGGCUGGGGGUGAAAGGCCAAUCAAACCGGGAGAUAGCUGGUUCUCCCCGAAAGCUAUUUAGGUAGCGCCUCGUGAAUUCAUCUCCGGGGGUAGAGCACUGUUUCGGCAAGGGGGUCAUCCCGACUUACCAACCCGAUGCAAACUGCGAAUACCGGAGAAUGUUAUCACGGGAGACACACGGCGGGUGCUAACGUCCGUCGUGAAGAGGGAAACAACCCAGACCGCCAGCUAAGGUCCCAAAGUCAUGGUUAAGUGGGAAACGAUGUGGGAAGGCCCAGACAGCCAGGAUGUUGGCUUAGAAGCAGCCAUCAUUUAAAGAAAGCGUAAUAGCUCACUGGUCGAGUCGGCCUGCGCGGAAGAUGUAACGGGGCUAAACCAUGCACCGAAGCUGCGGCAGCGACGCUUAUGCGUUGUUGGGUAGGGGAGCGUUCUGUAAGCCUGUGAAGGUGUGCUGUGAGGCAUGCUGGAGGUAUCAGAAGUGCGAAUGCUGACAUAAGUAACGAUAAAGCGGGUGAAAAGCCCGCUCGCCGGAAGACCAAGGGUUCCUGUCCAACGUUAAUCGGGGCAGGGUGAGUCGACCCCUAAGGCGAGGCCGAAAGGCGUAGUCGAUGGGAAACAGGUUAAUAUUCCUGUACUUGGUGUUACUGCGAAGGGGGGACGGAGAAGGCUAUGUUGGCCGGGCGACGGUUGUCCCGGUUUAAGCGUGUAGGCUGGUUUUCCAGGCAAAUCCGGAAAAUCAAGGCUGAGGCGUGAUGACGAGGCACUACGGUGCUGAAGCAACAAAUGCCCUGCUUCCAGGAAAAGCCUCUAAGCAUCAGGUAACAUCAAAUCGUACCCCAAACCGACACAGGUGGUCAGGUAGAGAAUACCAAGGCGCUUGAGAGAACUCGGGUGAAGGAACUAGGCAAAAUGGUGCCGUAACUUCGGGAGAAGGCACGCUGAUAUGUAGGUGAAGUCCCUUGCGGAUGGAGCUGAAAUCAGUCGAAGAUACCAGCUGGCUGCAACUGUUUAUUAAAAACACAGCACUGUGCAAACACGAAAGUGGACGUAUACGGUGUGACGCCUGCCCGGUGCCGGAAGGUUAAUUGAUGGGGUCAGCGCAAGCGAAGCUCUUGAUCGAAGCCCCGGUAAACGGCGGCCGUAACUAUAACGGUCCUAAGGUAGCGAAAUUCCUUGUCGGGUAAGUUCCGACCUGCACGAAUGGCGUAAUGAUGGCCAGGCUGUCUCCACCCGAGACUCAGUGAAAUUGAACUCGCUGUGAAGAUGCAGUGUACCCGCGGCAAGACGGAAAGACCCCGUGAACCUUUACUAUAGCUUGACACUGAACAUUGAGCCUUGAUGUGUAGGAUAGGUGGGAGGCUUUGAAGUGUGGACGCCAGUCUGCAUGGAGCCGACCUUGAAAUACCACCCUUUAAUGUUUGAUGUUCUAACGUUGACCCCUAAUCGGGGUUGCGGACAGUGUCUGGUGGGUAGUUUGACUGGGGCGGUCUCCUCCUAAAGAGUAACGGAGGAGCACGAAGGUUGGCUAAUCCUGGUCGGACAUCAGGAGGUUAGUGCAAUGGCAUAAGCCAGCUUGACUGCGAGCGUGACGGCGCGAGCAGGUGCGAAAGCAGGUCAUAGUGAUCCGGUGGUUCUGAAUGGAAGGGCCAUCGCUCAACGGAUAAAAGGUACUCCGGGGAUAACAGGCUGAUACCGCCCAAGAGUUCAUAUCGACGGCGGUGUUUGGCACCUCGAUGUCGGCUCAUCACAUCCUGGGGCUGAAGUAGGUCCCAAGGGUAUGGCUGUUCGCCAUUUAAAGUGGUACGCGAGCUGGGUUUAGAACGUCGUGAGACAGUUCGGUCCCUAUCUGCCGUGGGCGCUGGAGAACUGAGGGGGGCUGCUCCUAGUACGAGAGGACCGGAGUGGACGCAUCACUGGUGUUCGGGUUGUCAUGCCAAUGGCACUGCCCGGUAGCUAAAUGCGGAAGAGAUAAGUGCUGAAAGCAUCUAAGCACGAAACUUGCCCCGAGAUGAGUUCUCCCUGACCCUUUAAGGGUCCUGAAGGAACGUUGAAGACGACGACGUUGAUAGGCCGGGUGUGUAAGCGCAGCGAUGCGUUGAGCUAACCGGUACUAAUGAACCGUGAGGCUUAACCUUACAACGCCGAAG
rnacentral:rRNA from 1 species